CCCUCACUUCUAGUUCAGGCUCUCUGUCCCAGUCAUAUUACCCUCUUCGUUCUGGGAAGCUUGGGGAUAAGCCAGUGGGGCACUCUGCUACUGCAAGUGAAAGUGAUAUUUCAGUUGGAAGCAACUACAGGAAUGUUCCAGGCCAAGGGAACAGCAUGUGCAAAGACCCUGAGGUAAGAGUAAAAUGCAUUUAAGGAAGACCAGUGUGGAGACAGAUAAGAAAAUCAAAGAAUCGUAGACUGAUGGGACCUUGAGGA